rnacentral:rRNA from 1 species
AGCUCCUCGAGUGGUUGGGACGAUUAUUGGGUCUAAAGCGUCCGUAGCCGGCUGGAAAAGUUCUCCGUAAAAUCCAGCGAUCCAAUCGCUGGCCUGCGGGGAAUACUCUUCGGCUUGGGGGCGGGGGAGGUCGGCGGUAGUCCCGGGGUAGGGGCGAAAACCGGAAACAUCCGAUUCGCAAUCUUAUAAUCCCGGGAGGACCACCAGUGGCGAAGGCGGCCGACUAAAACGCGCCCGACGGUGAGGGACGAAAGCUGGGGGAGCGAACG